rnacentral:rRNA from 1 species
AAUCUUGCGCAAUGGGCGAAAGCCUGACGCAGCGACGCCGCGUGAGUGAAGAAGGCCUUCGGGUUGUAAAACUCUGUCCUCAGGGAAGAAGCAAGUGACGGUACCUGAGGAGGAAGCCCCGGCUAACUUCGUGCCAGCAGCCGCGGUAAUACGAAGGGGGCUAGCGUUGCUCGGAAUUACUGGGCGUAAAGGGCGCGUAGGCGGAUCGUUAAGUCAGGGGUGAAAUCCCGGGGCUCAACCUCGGAAUUGCCCUUGAUACUGGCGAUCUUGAGUAUGAGAGAGGUAUGUGGAACUCCGAGUGUAGAGGUGAAAUUCGUAGAUAUUCGGAAGAACACCAGUGGCGAAGGCGACAUACUGGCUCAUUACUGACGCUGAGGCGCGAAAGCGUGGGGAGCAAACA